rnacentral:misc_RNA from 1 species
GAUGAAGAACGCAGCGAAAUGCGAUAAGUAAUGUGAAUUGCAGAAUUCAGUGAAUCAUCGAAUCUUUGAACGCACAUUGUGCCCGCUAGUAUUCUGGCGGGCAUGCCUGUCCGAGCGUCAUUUCAACCCUCAAGCCCCCGGGCUUGGUGUUGGGGAUCGGCGAGCCUCCGCGCCCGCCGUCCCCUAAAUCUAGUGGCGGUCUCGCUGUAGCUUCCUCUGCGUAGUAGCACACCUCGCACUGGGAAACAGCGCGGCCACGCCGUUAAACCCCCAACUUCUGAACGUUUGACCUCGGAUCAGGUAGGAAUACCCGCUGAACUUAAGCAUAUCAUAAGCGGAGGA